UACGAAGGGGGCAAGCGUUGUUCGGAAUUACUGGGCGUAAAGGGAGUGUAGGCGGAUAGUAAAGAUAGGGGUGAAAUCCCGGGGCUCAACCUCGGAACUGCCUCUAUAACUUACGAUCUAGAAUAAUAGAGAGGUUAACGGAAUAUCCAGUGUAGAGGUGAAAUUCGUAGAUAUUGGAUAGAACACCAGUGGCGAAGGCGGUUAACUGGCUAUUUAUUGACGCUGAUGCUCGAAAGCGUGGGGAGCGAACAGG
rnacentral:rRNA from 1 species